rnacentral:rRNA from 1 species
CCAAUAGCGUAUAUUAAAGUUGUUGCAGUUAAAAAGCUCGUAGUUGAACUUCGGGGUCUACCCAUUGGUCAGGCUUAAUUGUCUGUACUGGUGAGAUGGAUCUCUACCUUCUGAGGAACUUUCAUGCCAUUUAUUUAGUGUGAUGGGAAAUCAGGACUGUUACUUUGAAAAAAUUAGAGUGUUUAAAGCAGGCUAACGUCUGAAUACAUUAGCAUGGAAUAAUGAAAUAGGACGGACUGAUUCUAUUUCGUUGGUUUCUAGGAUCACCGUAAUGAGUAAUAGGGAUAGUUGGGGGGAUUAGUAUUCAAUUGUCAGAGGUGAAAUUCUUGGAUUUAUUGAAGACUAACUACUGCGAAAGCAUUUGCCAAGGAUGUUUUCAUUAAUCAAGAACGAAAGUUAGGGGAUCGAAGACGAUCAGAUACCGUCGUAGUCUUAACCAUAAACUAUGCCGACUAGGGAUCGGAUGAUGUUAAUUUUUUAAUGACUCAUUCGGCGCCUUACG